GGACGGGUACUUGGUGAGGGCGAAGGCGGCGGCCUCGUCCCACGGCGCCUCGCUGAAGUCGAGCUGCUGCAUCUCCGGCACGGUCGCCGGCGUCUCGGCCGUGGUGGCGGCGGAGGACGGCGACAGGGAGGGCGACGAGUCGGCGGACUCCAGGCAGGACGACGCGUCGUCGGAGGACGGCGACGAGCAGUUGCUGGUGGGCGCGGAGGAUGUUGCGGCGGCGGAGGCGGAGACAGAGGACUUCUUGGCGUUCUUGGCGGCGGCGAUGUUCUGGCAGAGCGUCUGGAGCUUGGCGUCGACGGAGGCGUGGAGCGGGCCGCGGGAGGCGGCGUUGUCG
rnacentral:misc_RNA from 1 species